rnacentral:rRNA from 1 species
GAUCAUGGCUCAGAUUGAACGCUGGCGGAAUGCUUUACACAUGCAAGUCGAACGGUAGAGGGGGCAACCCUCGAGAGUGGCGAACGGGUGAGUAAUAUAUCGGAACGUGCCCAGUCGUGGGGGAUAACGUAGAGAAAUUUACGCUAAUACCGCAUACGAUCUAAGGAUGAAAGCGGGGGAUCGCAAGACCUUGCGUUAUACGAGCGGCCGAUGUCAGAUUAGCUAGUUGGUGAGGUAAAAGCCCACCAAGGCGACGAUCCGUAGCUGGUCUGAGAGGACGACCAGCCACACUGGGACUGAGACACGGCCCAGACUCCUACGGGAGGCAGCAGUGGGGAAUUUUGGACAAUGGACGCAAGUCUGAUCCAGCCAUGCCGCGUGCGGGAAGAAGGCCUUCGGGUUGUAAACCGCUUUUGUCAGGGAAGAAAUCUUCUAGGCUAAUACCUUGGGAGGAUGACGGUACCUGAAGAAUAAGCACCGGCUAACUACGUG